UACGAACCAAACAACGUGCUCUGUUUCUUGUGUGACGUGAAGUGUUGUAUGUUUCGCCUACUGGGGCGAUAUAAACAUCGGGUAUGUCCAUUGUAACAAAAAAUUUUUGCCUCCCUAAUUUCAUCUCUGAUCCUUGUGAUUUUCUUCCAUCCUACCCCAGAACUGUAGGAUGAACUCAACAUCCGGUCUUCCAUUGCAUUCCUUUACAAACGAUUAAACUUAUUGCAUCACGUGUCGCAAUAUCACGUAACAUAUAACUAGUCUGGUUGUGUAGUUUCUAUCAGUGAGGAAAAUGGAUGCUACAGAUGCCUUCUGGGAGAACUUAUAUGGGAAACUGGCCCGUUACUAAUGUAAAGAAAACCCAGAAAACUCCACGUGGCCAGUCCAUUGGGGAUGCGCAAACCCACAACCAAAGUACUGGUUGUUCAGCGGAUUUAUCCACUUAGCCACUGGUGGGCACUUAUUAGAAUUAAGAAAGUACCAUUUGGAAAUAAAAAAAUCAGAGUUGUUAGAGGUGGAAAAUUAAAUACUUAUAGUGUAAUACUUCUGACUCCAUGCAGAUAUAUGUAAAGCCAGAAAAUUGAAUGUAGACAGAAUUUAAUUUGGUGGUAUGGACAAGCUUAUCUACAUUAGAAGUAUGUUAACAUAACUGUCAAGUUUCAUAGCAAUUGAUCAAAAGGCCUAGGGAUGUAUGAUCACUCAAUCCCAGUACAAGCUGAUGUCCAUAUUACCAGAAAAGAGAGAUAUUAUCCAUCUAAGUCAACAACUAGAAAUUCAUCUAGAGAAAGCUUGAUUUCUGAAAAAGAUAAAACAGAAACUAAAAUAGAAAAUAAUAAUUAUAAGACUCAAAAAUCAAACCCUGAAGAAUUUGAGAAAGUAUGGGGAAAAAAGAAAUAGUGUUAUGAAUUUUUAUAAAUGCAUUUUGAAUAUGAAUAUGUAAAAAUAUAUUUUAAAAAUCUGAA